rnacentral:rRNA from 1 species
GAUGAACGCUGGCGGCGUGCCUAAUACAUGCAAGUCGAGCGAACGGACGAGAAGCUUGCUUCUCUGAUGUUAGCGGCGGACGGGUGAGUAACACGUGGAUAACCUACCUAUAAGACUGGGAUAACUUCGGGAAACCGGAGCUAAUACCGGAUAAUAUUUUGAACCGCAUGGUUCAAAAGUGAAAGACGGUCUUGCUGUCACUUAUAGAUGGAUCCGCGCUGCAUUAGCUAGUUGGUAAGGUAACGGCUUACCAAGGCAACGAUGCAUAGCCGACCUGAGAGGGUGAUCGGCCACACUGGAACUGAGACACGGUCCAGACUCCUACGGGAGGCAGCAGUAGGGAAUCUUCCGCAAUGGGCGAAAGCCUGACGGAGCAACGCCGCGUGAGUGAUGAAGGUCUUCGGAUCGUAAAACUCUGUUAUUAGGGAAGAACAUAUGUGUAAGUAACUGUGCACAUCUUGACGGUACCUAAUCAGAAAGCCACGGCUAACUACGUGCCAGCAGCCGCGGUAAUACGUAGGUGGCAAGCGUUAUCCGGAAUUAUUGGGCGUAAAGCGCGCGUAGGCGGUUUUUUAAGUCUGAUGUGAAAGCCCACGGCUCAACCGUGGAGGGUCAUUGGAAACUGGAAAACUUGAGUGCAGAAGAGGAAAGUGGAAUUCCAUGUGUAGCGGUGAAAUGCGCAGAGAUAUGGAGGAACACCAGUGGCGAAGGCGACUUUCUGGUCUGUAACUGACGCUGAUGUGCGAAAGCGUGGGGAUCAAACAGGAUUAGAUACCCUGGUAGUCCACGCCGUAAACGAUGAGUGCUAAGUGUUAGGGGGUUUCCGCCCCUUAGUGCUGCAGCUAACGCAUUAAGCACUCCGCCUGGGGAGUACGACCGCAAGGUUGAAACUCAAAGGAAUUGACGGGGACCCGCACAAGCGGUGGAGCAUGUGGUUUAAUUCGAAGCAACGCGAAGAACCUUACCAAAUCUUGACAUCCUUUGACAACUCUAGAGAUAGAGCCUUCCCCUUCGGGGGACAAAGUGACAGGUGGUGCAUGGUUGUCGUCAGCUCGUGUCGUGAGAUGUUGGGUUAAGUCCCGCAACGAGCGCAACCCUUAAGCUUAGUUGCCAUCAUUAAGUUGGGCACUCUAAGUUGACUGCCGGUGACAAACCGGAGGAAGGUGGGGAUGACGUCAAAUCAUCAUGCCCCUUAUGAUUUGGGCUACACACGUGCUACAAUGGACAAUACAAAGGGCAGCGAAACCGCGAGGUCAAGCAAAUCCCAUAAAGUUGUUCUCAGUUCGGAUUGUAGUCUGCAACUCGACUACAUGAAGCUGGAAUCGCUAGUAAUCGUAGACCAGCAUGCUACGGUGAAUACGUUCCCGGGUCU